rnacentral:pre_miRNA from 1 species
CAACUACUCCCUCUGUCCCAAAUUUCUUGUCUUAGAUUUGUCUAGAUACGGAUGUAUCUAAUACUAAAAUGUGACUUGAUACAUCUGUAUCUAGACAAAUCUAAGACAAGAAUUCCGGGAUGGAGGGAGUACUUU